UGUUGUGAUGAGAAUGAGUAAUAGGAAGUACCGUCAAAAGCAAUAACUGGGAGCUGGGGAGAUGGCUCAGU